UACCAGUGAUGCAAGCGUUAUCCGGAAUUAUUGGGCGUAAAGCGUUUGUAGGCGGGCGAGUGUGUUUAAUGUUAAGUCUUAAAGCUCAACUUUGAAAUUGCGUUAAAAACUGCUUGUCUUGAGUAUGGUAGGGGUAAAGGGAAUUCCCAGUGUAGCGGUGAAAUGCGUAGAUAUUGGGAAGAACACUAAACAGCGAAGGCACUUUACUAGGCUAAUACUGACGCUGAGAAACGAAAGGUAAGGUAGCGAAACGGAUUAGAUACCCGUGUAGUCUUACCCGUAAACUAUGGACACUAAACGGUAAAUUUUUAAUUUACUGUUAAAGCUAACGCGUUAAGUGUCCCGCCUGGGGAGUAUGCUUGCAAAAGUGAAACUCAAAGGAAUUGACGGGGGCCCGCACAAGCGGUGGAGCAUGUGGUUUAAUUCGACGGUACACGAAGAACCUUACCAGGAUUUGACAUGCUAGAUAGUUGCUUGAAAGAGUAACGUGCCGUAAGGAAUCUAGACACAGGUGGUGCAUGGCUGUCGUCAGUUCGUGUUGUGAAAUGUUGGGUUAAGUCCCGCAACGAACGCAACCCUUGUCUUUAGUUAUUUUCUAAAGAGACUGCCUGUAAUAAACAGGAGGAAGGUAAGGAUGAGGUCAAGUCAUCAUGCCCCUUAUGUCCUGGGCUACACACGUGCUACAAUGGGAAAGACAAUGAGCUGCAAAUCUGUAAAUUUAAGCAAAUCUCUUAAACUUUCUCGUAGUUCGGAUUGUGGGCUGCAACUCGCCCACAUGAAGUUGGAAUCGCUAGUAAUCGCCAGUCAGCUAUAUGGCGGUGAAUCCGUUCCCGGGCCU
rnacentral:rRNA from 1 species